GAUGAACGCUAGCGGCAGGCCUAAUACAUGCAAGUCGAACGGAUAUAUGUUUUUCGGAAUAUAUAUUAGUGGCGCACGGGUGAGUAACACGUACAUAACUUGCCCUCAAGCGGGGGAUAGCCUUGGGAAACUGAGAGUAAUACCCCAUAGAAUUAUUGGACGGCAUCGUUUGAUAAUUAAAACUACGGUGCUUGGGGAUAGAUGUGCGUCUGAUUAGCUAGUUGGUGAGGUAACUGCUCACCAAGGCGACGAUCAGUAGGGGGCGUGAGAGCGUGGCCCCCCACACGGGUACUGAGACACGGACCCGACUCCUACGGGAGGCAGCAGUAAGGAAUAUUGGUCAAUGGAGGGAACUCUGAACCAGCCAUGCCGCGUGAAGGAUGACGGCCCUCUGGGUUGUAAACUUCUUUUGGAUGGGGCGAAAAAACGGGAUUUAUCCUGGACUGACGGUACCAUCAGAAUAAGCACCGGCUAACUCCGUGCCAGCAGCCGCGGUAAU
rnacentral:rRNA from 1 species